UCUCACCCUCUGAAUGUAGAUUCAAGUAUAUGUGAAGGUUUUCUUUCUUAAGAUCAGACUUGAUCUUUCCUAAGACUGAUUUUUCAGUUUCCAGAGCUAUUAUUGACCAGCCUAGCACACAGAGCUGUCUGUCAUCUUCACAGUGCAAGGUCACAGAAAAUUGGGAAUGUGUAAUAAAAAUGAAAGAUGCAGAUACUUCUGAAAAAUCUCUUCAGCUGUGCCCCAUUGGACAGACACCCACAAGGAUCUGGUCAUAAUGCCUUUGAUUCAAUAAAGAAUCCCAGGAGUCUUAAGGUUGAGGCUGUGUGCUCUGGUUCUGUCAGUGCUGCCUGGAGAAAGAGCCCAGCCCCAGCUGAGCACAGGCAUCUUUCAGGAGCUGUGCAGAGUGAUGAGGGCACCCCUGAGUCGCCUUUUCUCCAGGU